AAUUACUAGCUUGUCCAUUAUAGAUUUCUUUGGUAUGUGGUAGAAGUGUUGGAACAAGCUUCCAAGCACUCUUUCAUUAACCAAUCUUGGUUUCUGUGAUCCGGUCCUUUGGACCUGUUAUAGAGCAGACACUACAAAGAUUCUGGUACUGCACAAUAGAAAAGGAAGAAAUAGAAGAAAAAUCUUCUUUCAAUAUCAAUAAUGUACAUUCUUCAAAGUAAAAAAAAAAUUUUGUUGUCAACACCUAGGGAAGCUCAUAUAAUUAAGAAAUAUAAUCAAGGGUUGAAGAUUAAAUCUCCACAUUUGCACUUCCAACUCAUUGGCUUGUAGUUGGACCAGUCAUCUCCUCUUGCAUAAACAAUGUUGGAGACUGUUGGGUAGUUUAUGUUGCCAUGAUUUACUUGGGGAUUUGUAGGCACCUGAAUAGCCUCACAACGUCCACAGUUACUGCACCUUCGCUCGCAUCUUGGAGGCCUUGAGCCUAUCUGAGAUCUCAUAAUCAUCUUCUCUUCAUUUUCUGUCUUUGGAAAGGUAGCAGAUUUUGGAUUAGCUCUGCCUGCAACACAGAAAGGCAAGUAAAAUGGUUUUACUUCAAAACUGCACAAAUUAGCCUUUCAAAUUAAAAAUUCAUCCUAACCCAUUACCUUCUGUCUUGAAUCUCACAUGGGUGGAGCUUGAAAUCAAGAGAAAGAGAAAGGAAAUGGUAACAUAACCAAGUCUUUGACACAAAAGCAGAUUGUGACUACACCCCAUUUCUCAAAAGGCCAAGGAGUUCAAUGCGAUGAAUGUAUUGGAGCGAAAAGUUUGUAGAGAAGAAGAAAAGAUGGAGAAAACAUGGGAAGUCAAAUUAUAUAUAAGAAGAUAAUGAACAUAUAUUGUGUCGUAAUAGAAGAAGAAAAUCAGUAAUUGAAUGACAUAUAAUUGCAAGCGGCUUUCUGUGUCACUCUCUGAUUCUUGAGGUGAUGGAACGAGAAAGGACAAGAAAGAUUAAAGAAAAAGAAAGCCCAAAAAGGCAAGAACCUUAACCUUGGUUGUUGAGCCCCAAAAUCCAAGUAACAAAAAAAGAUCAUACAAUAGAAGAAAGAGAGAGCUAGGCAACAAUAGUAGUGUUAGUGUUUGUUAGCUUUUAGAGCAUAGAGAUUAGCCAGAAAGAUAAAAGACAGUAAGGACCCAAAACAGAAGAAACACCACAAAAUUCCAUAACAGAUAUGAGAGACAAACGGACAUUUGAUUACAGCUGUGAAUAUUUCGGGUUAUCGCUUUCAUUCACUCAUAAUCCGAUCAUGAAAAAUAUUUGAAAUUUGCUUUUGGGAUUUCUUUCAAUGGCUGGCCUUAGCAGCAGCAAGCAGUGCCAACUUAUCACGGCAAAUGCCUUGUUCUCCUCAGCAGAGAACUGUGGAAAAAGAAGAGAAAGAGAGAAGAAGAGAAAGGAAAGGAACUGAUGCUAGUCCUCCUCGUAUCCCUUUUCAAUCAUGUCG
rnacentral:misc_RNA from 1 species